CUGGUUCAGUCUGCUUUCCACCAGACACUGGGAGAUGAAUUCAUCUUUCAGCAGGACAAUAACCUACAACACAUCCACACUGGAGGUGCUCACCAAGAUGACAUUGAAUGCAUCUGGGAGGCCCAGCUACAGGUAUUGAAUGCAUCUGGGAGGCCCAGCUACAGGUUUUGAAUGCAUCUGGGAGGCCCAGCUACAGGUUUUGAAUGCAUCUGGGAGGCCCAGCUACAGGUUUUGAAUGCAUCUGGGAGGCCCAGCUACAGGUUUUGUCAUCAAUCGGCUUGAAAAUCUAAUGCAAGACUUGAAAAUGUCUGUCUAGCAACGAUCAACAACCAACUUGACAGAACAAAUAUUGUACAAUCCAAAGUGUGCAAAGCUCUUAGAGACUUCCCCAGACAGACUCACAGCUGUAAUCGCUGCCAAAUGUGCUUCUGCAAAGUAUUGACUCAGGGGGUGUGAAUACUUCAGAAAAUUAUAUAUUCCUGCAUUUAAUUUUCAAUAAACUUGCAAAAUGAUGUAA